GCGCGGUGGAGAGGGAGCUGAACUGGUGAGUUACCUGCCCAAGCCGGGGCGCGGAGGGAGAUCUGUGCCUAGAGAGAGGAGGGGGUGUCAGGGGCUAGGUGGAUAGACAAACGGACUGAGGGGCCCGGGUGGGUUGGGGUACUGGUGGCUUAGCAAAAUGCAGUCGGACACUGUAAUUUGGGGACCACAGAAAUUGGAGGGAGUGGCUCAGUUUGGGAAAAAACUUUGUAUGUCUGUGCGCCCCCUCUCCUGGUGCCUGCCACACUUGUCAUCCCCCACCCCCAACCAUACUUUCUUCUUGUUUUUUUUUUUUUCUUUUCAAUGCCUUUGCUUUAAUAAUAAUCCAGAAGCCGCCCUGUUUGCUACAUAUAAUUCUGAAUUUUCAGCCAAAACAACAAAACAAACAAACAAACAAACAAAACCCCACCUUUUAUUAGACAGAUAGAAUUUGGCUGAACCGUAGCAACUUGCUGUUCUAUAGAGGAAAGCUGCGUUCUCUAAGAGUUGCCAACCUCAGGUCGGUGGCUUCUGGCUACCAACAUUGUGUUGGAACAAAUACUAGAUAUUAAGGAAUGUACAAAAAGACAGGGAUCUUUAAAAACAAAAACAAAAACAAAACAGAAUAUUGUGUUUUAAAAGAGAACGAUGUUUCUUGAAUGUCCAUCACCUGUAUUUCUAAUGAUCAUUGAAACUUUCCAGUCACAAGGGUAAGCCUGGGCAGCCUUUUGUCCCUGGCCUACCACAAUGCCACGUGGGGUUUAAACCAUUUUUUUUCCACUCAGAAAAGCUGAGCUGGGAGCUCUGGGAGGUUCCUGGAGAAUUCUGGGUCUUCAGUACUAUUGGUAUAUAUUGUCAGGAUUCUUCUGAAAAGGGCGGGAGGGGCUUCAUACAGAAAAGGUAUUUUGAAAAUUGACCUUCAUGAUUGGGGGAAAAGGCUAGAAAAUGACCAAAGGUGGGUGUAGCUGAGCCAUACCUGCAGCUUUCUCUUCCUGAAUCGCUUUCUUGCAAAGAAAGGAAACCCGGAAACCUGCCAGGUUCCCUCUGGGAUGUAGCUCAGAGACAGGGCAGACCCUGGUUUGAGUCCCCGGCGCCACAAAAAUAAGGCACCAGGCCUGAGCUCCCACCAGAGAACAGAGUGGGCGGGAGUGACUGGAAGUUCAUAAGGCCCCUCAUGGUGUACUGUCCACAGACCAGCACCAGCAAUUAUGCCUUGCCUGCCCUGCCUCCAGGACCAGCGCCCAUCUGUCUUGGAAUAGGACCUCUGGGUGCUCUCAAUACUGUGCAUCAUGACCAUGAGUUACGAUUUCAGAUCUUGGAAGGUUGGUUCCCCAUCUAUAGUACAGACAUUAUGUUCAAAAUUUAUCUCCUGAAUCGAGUGAGACGAAAUAGAAACAAUGCCUCGGCCACAAGUGUGAGGAGCCUGGGGUCCUGAUGGGACAAAUGCCGAAGCUAAGGGAACGCCUUAGUGCCUUAGUCUGCUUAGUCCGGUCUGCCCAGAAAGCACAGGUUGGCCUGAUCUCAGAAGCUAAGUAUGCUUAGGCCUAGUAAGCACUUGGUUGGGAAAGUCUGCCUAGACCUGUUCCCGGACCAGCCCGAGGAUAGCAGUACCUGGUCAAUGUCUAUGUGCUCUCUCUCUCUCUCUCUCUCUCUCUCUCUCUCUCUCUCUCUCUCUCUCUCUCUCUCUUUCUCUCUUCCCUCUAGAAAGAGUUCAACAAAACUCUGUAGAUUCUCUUCUCCCAUAUUUUGUGCUGUGUGUUGGGUAAAGAAGACAUCCCCACUGCCUCUGAACGUGACCUUAUUUGGACACAGGGUGACUGCAGACACUUAAGAUGAGGUUGUAGGGUGGGCCCAGUAAGACUUCUGCCCACUAAUAGAGGCGAUCAGCAUAUCCACAUAGAUACCUCAGGAAGGCGGCCAUCUUGGGGAGGCAGAGACUGCAACUACAAGCUGAAAGACAAAAAUCCCAGCAACCAAAGUGUCCCAAUCGGAAAGAGGAAGGCCCCUUUACUAGCAUCCUCAGAGGAUGCAGACUGCAGAGAAUAAAAAAAUAAAAAGCCAUUUCUGCCAGCGCUUGAUGGAACUUUUGUUUUUUUAACCACAUCUGAUACAUCAUCCCAGCAUCUCUCCUCUACCACCAGCAGAGAAUUGUGGCAAAAGAGAUGCAAACACUUAAGUGUUGGGGGAAGGCACGGCUGAGAGGGCAAGAGAUCUGCCUAGCUUCAGAAGAUUCUGGGUUCUAUCCUUACUACAGAAGACAAGCAAAAACCUCUUUGUAGGUGUUCUCAGGAUGCAAAGCAUCGUCUCUCUUCACCAAAUAUGUUUCUGUGAGUGUAGUUGAUAGCCUUUAAUGCUAGCACUUGGGAGGCAGAGGCAGGUGGAUUUGGGAGUUCGAGGCCAGCCUGAUCAACAGAGUGAGUUCCAGGACAACCAGGGCUACACAGAGAAACUCUGUCUCG
rnacentral:lncRNA from 1 species